CUGUUAGGUUAGCGAUCAUAUAGUUGAAUCAAAUAUUAUUAAUUAAUUUUAAAAAUUGUAAAAAAGAAAGACCUAUUAUAGCAAACCUUCCAGCACCAAUAAUAAUAACAACUGCAUAAUAAUAAAAAAGUUACAUCCAAAUAAAUAAACCAUCAACAAUUUUCAUGUUAGGUCGACUUGUGUCGGUACAACACACUAAGCAAAGCACAUGCACAGAUAAGAACAAUACUGUAUUAAAAAAUUCUUACCUCAUCGGUAACUUGUCCAGCUUUAAACUGUAAUUCUUGCAAUUCAGAUCUGGGGGCACCAUUCUCUGCUGGAGCUGGGGCAGGCAUUGUUCUAAAAUAAUUUUUUUUAAUAUAACAACUAAAUUUAAAAAAAAUAAAACAAAUCUUUUUAUCAAUCAAACUACUGUAAGUUCUUAAUAUUAUGAUUUGCAAUAAAAAAAAACAAUAAUAAUAA